ACGACCAUACCCACUGGAAUAUACGAGAUCCCGUCCGCUUUCCCCUAGUUAAACCAGUGAGGGCCGGUUUGACUAGUGAAGAGCGAUUGGAUCCCGAACAGCUGGCCAAUGAUAAUUUCGGUUAAAUGUUAACUGUC